AGGACGAACGCUGGCGGCGUGCUUAACACAUGCAAGUCGAGCGGUAAGGCCUUUCGGGGUACUCGAGCGGCGAACGGGUGAGUAACACGUGAGUAAUCUGCCCAUCGCUUCAGGAUAGCCAUCGGAAACGGUGAUUAAUACUGGAUAUGACAUUCCUUCGCAUGUUGGGGUGUGGAAAGUUUUUUCGGCGGUGGAUGUGCUCGCGGCCUAUCAGCUUGUUGGUGGGGUAAUGGCCUACCAAGGCUUUGACGGGUAGCCGGCCUGAGAGGGUGACCGGCCACACUGGGACUGAGACACGGCCCAGACUCCUACGGGAGGCAGCAGUGGGGAAUAGUUGGACAAGUGGGCGGAAGCCUGAUCCAGCAACGCCGCGUGAGGAUGACGGCCUUCGGGUUGUAACCUCUUUCAGCACAGACGAAGUUUUGCGUUUUUGGUGUAAGUGACGGUAUGUGCAGAAGAAGACCGGACCAACUACGUGCCAGCAGCCGC
rnacentral:rRNA from 1 species